AACGCGAAGAAACCUUAACUGGGGCUCGAACGGACUGGUGAACAGGGGUGGAAAACAUCCUUUUCCCGCAAGGGACACCAGUCGAGGUGCUGCAUGGCUGUCGUCAGCUCGUGUCGUGAGAUGUUGGGUUAAGCCCCGCAACGAGCGCAACCCCUGCCUUUAGUUGCCAACAGGUCAAGCUGGGCACUCUAAAGGGACUGCCGGUGAAAAACCGGAGGAAGGUGGGGAUGACGUCAAGUCCUCAUGGCCUUUAUGUCCAGGGCUACACACGUACUACAAUGGGUGGCACAAAGAGUCGCAAGCCCGCGAGGGGGAGCCAAUCUCAAAAAACCACUCUCAGUUCGGGUUGGAGUCUGCAACUCGACUCCAUGAAGCUGGAAUCGCUAGUAAUCGCUGAUCAGCAAGCAGCGGUGAAUACGUUCCCGGGUCUUGUACACACCG
rnacentral:rRNA from 1 species